rnacentral:miRNA from 12 species
GGGACAAGGUCAGUGGUUAUGGUGGGGGUGGGUUGGGGAUGGACUUGGGGAUCUUGGAGGUCUUCUCCAACUCUAAUGGUCCUAUGGUUCU